GACGUAGGGCGCGAGCGUUGUCCGGAUUUAUUGGGCGUAAAGAGCUCGUAGGCGGCUUGUUGCGUCGACUGUGAAAACCCGCGGCUCAACCGCGUGGCUUGCAGUCGAUACGGGCAGGCUAGAAUUCGGUAGGGGAGACUGGAAUUCCUGGUGUAGCGGUGAAAUGCGCAGAUAUCAGGAAGAACACCAAUGGCGAAAGCAGCUUUCUGGGACGGUACUGACGCUGAGACGCGAAAGCGUGGGGAGCGAACAGG
rnacentral:rRNA from 1 species